rnacentral:lncRNA from 1 species
UUUUUUUUUUUUAUAAAAGUUACAUUCUUUCAGCAAAUUUAGAAGCUAAAAUUACCAAUCUACCCAUAUUCCCCAAGAUUCUUUGGUAUCAUUAACAUUACAUGGUAUCUACAUGAUGGUUCAAGAGUUAAACAAAUUAGGUUCGAGUACCUGAGAAGUCAAUCCUAGGCAUUGGACAAGUGAAGUGCCAAUUCGACAUUUCACAGGCGAAAAAAGCUUUAAUAAGCUGUAU